AUGGGCAGGCUAGAGACUGGAAGAGGCAAGUGGAAUUGCUGGUGUAGGGGUUAAAUCCGUUAAUAUCAGCAGGAACACCAAAUGUGAAGACAACUUGCUAGGACAGAUCUGACGCUGAACUGCGAAAGCGUGGGGAGCGAAUGGGAUUAGAUACCCCAGUAGUCCACGCCCUAAACGAUGGAUGCUAAGCAUUGGAAGUAUCGACCCUUUCAGUGCUGUUCACCUAAGAUAACUCGUUAAGCAUCCCGCCUGGGGAGUACGGUCGCAAGACUAAAACUCAAAGGAAUAGACGGGGACCCGCACAAGCGGUGGAGCAUGUGGUUUAAUUCGACGGUAAGCGAGGAACCUUACCAAGGCUUGACAUGUCUGGAAAUUUGCCGAAAGGCAGACGUGCCCGCAAGGGAACCAGAACACAGGUGCUGCAUGGUUGUCAUCAGCUCGUGUCGUGAGAUGUUGGGUUAAGUCCUUUAACGAGCGCAACCCCUACUCUAUAUUGAAUAUUUAUAGAGGACUGCCUAGGUUUAACUAGGAGGAAGGUGGGGAUGACGUCAAAUCAGCAUGGCUCUUACGCCUUGGGCAACACACGUGCUACAAUGGGAAGUACAAAGGGUCGCAAAAUCGCAAGAUGAAGCUAAUCCCACCAAAACUUCCCCCAGUUCGGAUUGAGGUCUGCAACUCGACCUCAUGAAGUCGGAAUCGCUAGUAAUCGCGGAUCAGCAUGUCGCGGUGAAUACGUUCCCGGGCCUUGUACACACCGCCCGUCACACCAUGGGAGUGGGUUUUACCAGAAGUAGUUAGCCUAACCGUAAGGAGGGCGAUUACCACGGUAGUAUUCAUGACUGGGGUGAAGUCGUAACAAGGUAACC
rnacentral:rRNA from 1 species